CCCCUCUCGGGGUCACAUCCAGAGAGUUUCCAGUACUCUACCGUCUCGACUAUAGGAGGGAGAGUCAAGCAGAGGCAUAUCCAUUCCAUUCCUAGCUUGGGCAGUGGCUAGUGAGUGGAAGGCAGUCUGCUACAAGU
rnacentral:snoRNA from 1 species